CCCCACCCUGCCUUCCCGGAGACUCCUGCUCUUCCUCUGACAGGUGCCCAGAUGGGGCUAUGCCGGGGGGCCUGCGGGUGGCAGGGCUGGAGUGAAGAGCAUCUGUGGCUCAGACCC
rnacentral:miRNA from 1 species